AGUGAACGCUGGCGGUAGGCCUAACACAUGCAAGUCGAACGGCAGCACAGUAAGAGCUUGCUCUUACGGGUGGCGAGUGGCGGACGGGUGAGGAAUACAUCGGAAUCUACUUUUUCGUGGGGGAUAACGUAGGGAAACUUACGCUAAUACCGCAUACGACCUACGGGUGAAAGCAGGGGAUCUUCGGACCUUGCGCGAUUGAAUGAGCCGAUGUCGGAUUAGCUAGUUGGCGGGGUAAAGGCCCACCAAGGCGACGAUCCGUAGCUGGUCUGAGAGGAUGAUAGGCCACACUGGAACUGAGACACGGUCCAGACUCCUACGGGAGGCAGCAGUGGGGAAUAUUGGGCAAUGGGCGCAAGCCUGAUCCAGCCAUACCGCGUGGGUGAAGAAGGCCUUCGGGUUGUAAAGCCCUUUUGUUGGGAAAGAAAAGCAGCAGGUUAAUACCCCGCUGUUCUGACGGUACCCAAAGAAUAAGCACCGGCUAACUACGUG
rnacentral:rRNA from 1 species